UACAGAGGUCUCAAGCGUUGUUCGGAAUCACUGGGCGUAAAGGGUGCGUAGGCCGCACGGUAAGUCAGGUGUGAAAGCCCGGAGCUCAACUUCGGAAUUGCACCCGAUACUGCCGUGCUUGAGGACUGGAGAGGAGUCUGGAAUUCACAGUGGAGCAGUGAAAUGCGUAGAUAUUGUGAGGAACACUAGUGGCGAAGGCGAGACUCUGGACAGUUACUGACGCUGAGGCACGAAGGCCAGGGGAGCAAACGGG
rnacentral:rRNA from 1 species